rnacentral:lncRNA from 1 species
GAGGAGUUCUCUGAAAUCAAACUCAAUGGGAAUGCCUCAGUCAGCACUGCACCUGCUGCCAAGCUUACCGACAUGAGUUCAGUUCCCGGAUCCUCACGGUGGGAGAGGAGUAACUAACUGGAGGUGUCCUCUGGCCUCCUGGGAUUUCGUGUGGGCUCAAGAGAUGUCACACAGUCUUAGCCAGAAUCAGAUCCAGAAAUGGCACACAGGGACACCGAGGACAACAGAGAAAACAUGGCUCCUGAUUCAAAAAGCAACACUCUUCUCUUGCGACUGAAACUUCACAGGGAGAAAAGCUGCUGCCGCACCAAGUUCUCUAGGGCCAGAGACUGAUGUUGCUCAGUUGUCAUGGAUCAACUGGAGAUCCAAAGGGUCCAUAUUGAAGUCUGAGUAAUGUAUGGAAAAGUGCUUUUAAAAGAAGCAUCCAGAAGAUUUAAAGUCUUCAGUUGAUCUGGUAAGAGCCACGGGCCUCUCCUUGACCCUGAGUUCUGACACUGAGCUGCAAACAUCUCUACCCUUCACCCACCUCAGGCUUUGAACACUUUGCUUCCUGGGCCUGAGGGACAAGGAAGAGAAAUGACCUGAAUCUGGAAUGAGACUGAUAUACAUACAGUCCACUGUAGGCCACUGUCACUGGUGGAUGGAAACGGCUUCAAAAUAGAUUCUCAGAGAAGACAAGGAAAAGAACAAAGGAACAGUACUACAUCAUCUUGAGCUUCUGGCUUCUCUCAGAACCAGUUCU